rnacentral:rRNA from 1 species
UACGUAGGGUGCAAGCGUUGUCCGGAAUUAUUGGGCGUAAAGAGCGUGUAGGCGGCCAGGUAGGUCUGCUGUGAAAACUCGAGGCUCAACCUCGAGACGUCGGCGGAAACCAUCUGGCUAGAGUCCGGAAGAGGAGAGUGGAAUUCCUGGUGUAGCGGUGAAAUGCGCAGAUAUCAGGAAGAACACCCGUGGCGAAGGCGACUCUCUGGGACGGUACUGACGCUGAGACGCGAAAGCGUGGGGAGCGAACAGG